rnacentral:rRNA from 1 species
GAUGAACGCUAGCGGAAGGCAUAAUACAUGCAAGUCGAACGGAUGUAGCAAUACAUUAGUGGCGCACGGGUGCGUAACGCGUAUGCAACCUACCUUCAUCAGGGGGAUAACUACCCGAAAGGGUGGCUAACACCGCAUAAUACUAUUGAGUGGCAUCACUUGAUAUUUAAAUCUGAGGAGGAUGAAGAUGGGCAUGCGUCUGAUUAGCUAGUUGGUGUGGUAACGGUGCACCAAGGCGACGAUCAGUAGGGGAACUGAGAGGUUGGUCCCCCACACUGGCACUGAGAUACGGGCCAGACUCCUACGGGAGGCAGCAGUAGGGAAUAUUGGUCAAUGGUGGGAACACUGAACCAGCCAUUCCGCGUGCAGGAAGAAGGGUCUCUGACUUGUAAACUGCUUUAGCAAGGGAAGAAAGAGCUCAUGCGUGAGAAAUUGACGGUACCUUGAGAAUAAGCACCGGCUAACUACGUGCCAGCCGCCGCCGUAAGAC